rnacentral:sRNA from 1 species
GAUCAGUUACUGGAGUUCAACGGCAUAAACCUGCGGAGCGCCACGGAGCAGCAGGCGCGGCUCAUCAUCGGGCAGCAGUGUGAUACCAUCACCAUCCUGGCCCAGUACAACCCCCACGUGCACCAGCUCAGCAGCCACUCCCGGUCCAGCUCACACCUGGACCCUGCCGGUACCCACUCCACUCUCCAGGGCAGUGGCACCACCACCCCGGAGCAUCCAUCUGUCAUCGACCCACUGAUGGAGCAGGACGAGGGGCCUAGCACCCCCCCAGCCAAGCAGAGCAGCUCCAGGAUUGCGGGAGAUGCCAACAAGAAGACCCUGGAGCCACGCGUUGUCUUCAUCAAAAAGUCCCAGCUGGAGCUUGGGGUGCACUUGUGUGGUGGGAACCUGCAUGGGGUGUUUGUGGCCGAGGUGGAGGAUGACAGUCCUGCCAGGGGUCCUGACGGCCUCGUGCCAGGGGACCUCAUCCUGGAGUAUGGCAGCCUGGACGUGCGGAACAAGACAGUGGAGGAAGUCUAUGUGGAGAUGCUGAAGCCCAGGGAUGGCGUCCGCCUGAAGGUGCAGUACCGCCCUGAGGAGUUCACGAAGGCCAAGGGCCUGCCUGGUGACAGCUUCUACAUCAGGGCCCUGUACGACCGGCUGGCAGAUGUGGAGCAUGAGUUGAGCUUUAAGAAGGACGACAUCCUCUACGUGGAUGACACCUUGCCCCAGGGCACGUUCGGGUCCUGGAUGGCUUGGCAGCUGGACGAGAAUGCCCAGAAGAUCCAGCGCGGGCAGAUUCCCAGCAAAUAUGUGAAGCGUAACUCGUCAUGUCACCAAUUGAAGGCUGUCCUAGCAGUUCCUUUUGACACCGAGCUGAAU